GUCAUUUUGUGUGAUAAUUUUGCCAACAACAUGUUUUAAAGAAAUACAAUCAAUCUAUACAAAAAGACUAUUCGCUUUUUAAAUUAUGUUCACACUUUUUUCAUAUAUAAAUCUCAUCUAAUGUAUCUAGCUGAUGAUAUGCAAAGGUGCUCACUAAGCUCAUGAGCAGAAUACACUAUUACUACUGGUUAUACUUAAUGCAGGAGGGGUUAGGAAAAAUAUGACAGUAAGAUCUUCUCUGUACAGCUAUUUUUUUAUUCCAUUAAUAUAACCAUAUUAUAUCAAACUUUACAUAUUAGAAAUGAUUCUACAAACACAGUACAAACAUCAUAUAACAGUAACAGUGUCUAGACCAUAAGAAAAACAAAUUUGAAAAAUAAAGAACACAAUUAC